rnacentral:rRNA from 1 species
GACGAACGCUGGCGGCGUGCUUAACACAUGCAAGUCGAACGGAAAGGCCCUGCUUUUGUGGGGUGCUCGAGUGGCGAACGGGUGAGUAACACGUGAGUAACCUGCCCUUGACUUUGGGAUAACUUCAGGAAACUGGGGCUAAUACCGGAUAGGAGCUCCUGCUGCAUGGUGGGGGUUGGAAAGUUUCGGCGGUUGGGGAUGGACUCGCGGCUUAUCAGCUUGUUGGUGGGGUAGUGGCUUACCAAGGCUUUGACGGGUAGCCGGCCUGAGAGGGUGACCGGCCACAUUGGGACUGAGAUACGGCCCAGACUCCUACGGGAGGCAGCAGUGGGGAAUAUUGCACAAUGGGCGGAAGCCUGAUGCAGCAACGCCGCGUGCGGGAUGACGGCCUUCGGGUUGUAAACCGCUUUCGCCUGUGACGAAGCGUGAGUGACGGUAAUGGGUAAAGAAGCACCGGCUAACUACGUGCCAGCAGCCGCGGUGAUACGUAGGGUGCGAGCGUUGUCCGGAUUUAUUGGGCGUAAAGGGCUCGUAGGUGGUUGAUCGCGUCGGAAGUGUAAUCUUGGGGCUUAACCCUGAGCGCGCUUUCGAUACGGGUUGACUUGAGGAAGGUAGGGGAGAAUGGAAUUCCUGGUGGAGCGGUGGAAUGCGCAGAUAUCAGGAGGAACACCAGUGGCGAAGGCGGUUCUCUGGGCCUUUCCUGACGCUGAGGAGCGAAAGCGUGGGGAGCGAACAGGCUUAGAUACCCUGGUAGUCCACGCUGUAAACGGUGGGUACUAGGUGUGGGGUCCAUUCCACGGGUUCCGUGCCGUAGCUAACGCUUUAAGUACCCCGCCUGGGGAGUACGGCCGCAAGGCUAAAACUCAAAGGAAUUGACGGGGCCCCGCACAAGCGGCGGAGCAUGCGGAUUAAUUCGAUGCAACGCGUAGAACCUUACCCGGGUUUGACAUGGAUCGGGAGCGCUCAGAGAUGGGUGUGCCUCUUUUGGGGUCGGUUCACAGGUGGUGCAUGGCUGUCGUCAGCUCGUGUCGUGAGAUGUUGGGUUAAGUCCCGCAACGAGCGCAACCCUUGUUCACUGUUGCCAGCACGUUAUGGUGGGGACUCAGUGGAGACCGCCGGGGUCAACUCGGAGGAAGGUGGGGAUGACGUCAAGUCAUCAUGCCCCUUAUGUCCAGGGCUUCACGCAUGCUACAAUGGCUGGUACAGAGAGUGGCGAGCCUGUGAGGGUGAGCGAAUCUCGGAAAGCCGGUCUCAGUUCGGAUUGGGGUCUGCAACUCGACCUCAUGAAGUCGGAGUCGCUAGUAAUCGCAGAUCAGCAACGCUGCGGUGAAUACGUUCCCGGGGCU